GCCAGAUGUAGGUAGCCCUGACUUAUAAACUCAGUUAUAGGGAGGAUGAGGCUGGUUCACCUCUUGAGGUUGGGAACUCUUAACCAUGGUGGGCUAUGCUGAUCAGGUGUCCACACUAAUUUCAGUAUCAAUAUGGUAAUUCCCCUACCAUGGAUGGAGUACCAGAUUGCCUAAGGAAGGGGAAGACCAGCCCAGGUUGGAAACAGGGCAGGUCUAAGUUCCUGUGCCAAUCAGUAUUGAGAUCUGGCCCAUGAGUAGCCCCUGUUUCCAGCCCUGAUGAGAUGGGGAGAUGCAGUUUUU
rnacentral:SRP_RNA from 1 species